AAGGAUCAUUACUGCUUGCUUACGGUUUCGUUCGGGCAACCGAGCGGGGCCGGGCACGCUACCCUUGCUUAUGUAUACCUAUUGUUAUUCCCUCGGCGGGGAGACCCGCCGCCGGGAUCAAUUAAACCCUUUUGUAUAAAGCAUCAAAACUUCUGAAAACAAAUUAAUAAUUACAACUUUUAACAAUGGAUCUCUUGGUUCUGGCAUCGAUGAAGAACGCAGCGAAAUGCGAUAAGUAGUGUGAAUUGCAGACUUUAGUGAAUCAUCGAAUCUUUGAACGCACAUUGCGCCCCUUGGUAUUCCAUUGGGCAUGCCUGUUCGAGCGUCAUUUACAUCCUCAAGCUCAUGCUUGGUGUUGGGCGUCUGUCCGCGCUUUCGGCGCGGACUCGCCCCAAAUCCAUUGGCAGCGGCUCCGCCGGCUUCUCGCGCAGCACAUUGCGAUCUUGAAGGCUUUCGGCGGGCUCGCGUCCAUCAAGUAACCCCCAAUUUUGACCUCGAAUCAGGUAGGGAUACCCGCUGAACUUAAGCAUAUCAAUAAGCGGAGGAAAAGAAACCAACAGGGAUUGCCCUAGUAACGGCGAGUGAAGCGGCAAAAGCUCAAAUUUGAAAUCUGGCUCUCUAUGGGAGUCCGAGUUGUAAUUUGCAGAGGGCGCUUUGGUGUCGGCAGCGGUCUAAGUUCCUUGGAACAGGACGUCACAGAGGGUGAGAAUCCCGUACGUGGUCGCUUGCCUUCGCCGUGUAAAGCCCCUUCGACGAGUCGAGUUGUUUGGGAAUGCAGCUCUAAAUGGGAGGUAAAUUUCUCCUAAAGCUAAAUACUGGCCAGAGACCGAUAGCGCACAAGUAGAGUGAUCGAAAGAUGAAAAGCACUUUGGAAAGAGAGUCAAAUAGCACGUGAAAUUGUUAAAAGGGAAGCGCUUGCAGCCAGACUUGCCCGCGGUUGUUUUCUUCCGUGGGCAGGCCAGCAUCAGUUUGGGCGAUCGGAUAAAGGCCUCUGUCACGUAUCUCCCUUCGGGGAGACCUUAUAGGGGAGGCGUAAUGCGAUCAGCCCGGACUGAGGUCCGCGCAUCUGCUAGGAUGCUGGCGUAAUGGCUGUAAGCGGC
rnacentral:rRNA from 1 species